rnacentral:pre_miRNA from 1 species
UGGGUUUAUCCUUAGUCAAACUUUUUCUAGUUUGACCAGGCUUAUAGAAAAACUUCGCAGAAUUUUCAACAGAAAACAAAUAUACUACAAAAGAUAAAUUCGAUGGUGGAUUUAAUGAAGCUAAUUUGGUGUUGUAGAUGCUGCUGUGUUUUCUAUAAACUUGGUCAAACUUGAAGAAGAUUGACUUAGGACAAAUCCAA